GAUGAACGCUAGCGGGAGGCCUAACACAUGCAAGCCGAGCGGUAUUGUUUCUUCGGAAAUGAGAGAGCGGCGUACGGGUGCGUAACACGUGUGCAACCUGCCUUUAUCUGGGGGAUAGCCUUUCGAAAGGAAGAUUAAUACUCCAUAAUAUAUUGAACGGCAUCGUUUAAUAUUGAAAGCUCCGGCGGAUAGAGAUGGGCACGCGCAAGAUUAGCUAGUUGGUGAGGUAACGGCUCACCAAGGCGAUGAUCUUUAGGGGGCCUGAGAGGGUGAUCCCCCACACUGGUACUGAGACACGGACCAGACUCCUACGGGAGGCAGCAGUGAGGAAUAUUGGUCAAUGGGUGCAAGCCUGAACCAGCCAUCCCGCGUGAAGGACGACUGCCCUAUGGGUUGUAAACUUCUUUUGUAUAGGGAUAAACCUACCCUCGUGAGGGUAGCCGAAGGUACUAUACGAAUAAGCACCGGCUAACUCCGUG
rnacentral:rRNA from 1 species